UACGUAGGGCGCAAGCGUUGUCCGGAAUUAUUGGGCGUAAAGAGCUCGUAGGCGGUUUGUCUCGUCUGCUGUGAAAACCCGCGGCUUAACUGCGGGCUUGCGGUUGAUACGGGCGGGCUAGAGUUCGGUAGGGGAGACUGGAAUUCCUGGUGUAGCGGUGAAAUGCGCAGAUAUCAGGAGGAACACCGGUGGCGAAGGCGGGUCUCUGGGCCGAUACUGACGCUGAGGAGCGAAAGCGUGGGGAGCGAACAGG
rnacentral:rRNA from 1 species